GUGCCAGCAGCCGCGGUAAUACGGAGGAUGCAAGCGUUAUCCGGAUUCAUUGGGUUUAAAGGGUGCGUAGGCGGAUUAGAUAGUCAAAGGUGAAAGCCUGCAGCUUAACUGUAGAAGUGCCUUUGAUACUGCUAAUCUUGAGUACAGUUGAGGCGAGUGGAAUGUGUAGUGUAGCGGUGAAAUGCAUAGAUACUACACAGAACACCAAUUGCGAAGGCAGCUCGCUAAGCUGUUACUGACGCUCAGGCACGAAAGCGUGGGGAGCGAACAGGAUUAGAUACCCUGGUAGUCCACGCUGUAAACUAUGAUCACUAGCUGUUGGCGAUAAAUUGUCAGUGGCUCAGCGAAAGCGUUAAGUGAUCCACCUGGGGAGUACGAUCGCAAGGUUGAAACUCAAAGGAAUUGACGGGGGCCCGCACAAGCGGUGGAACAUGUGGUUUAAUUCGAUGAUACGCGAGGAACCUUACCUGGGCUUAAAUGUAGCGCGACGUCUCGAGAAAUCGGGAUUCCCUUCGGGGCGAACUACAAGGUGCUGCAUGGUUGUCGUCAGCUCGUGCCGUGAGGUAUCGGGUUAAGUCCCAUAACGAGCGCAACCCUUAUUGUUAGUUGCCAGCGGAUAAUGCCGGGGACUCUAACAAAACUGCCCGUGUAAACGGGAGGAAGGUGGGGAUGACGUCAAAUCAGCACGGCCCUUAUGUCCAGGGCUACACACGUGUUACAAUGGCUGGAACAAAGGGCAGCUACCACGCAAGUGGAUGCUAAUCUCUAAAUCCAGUCCCAGUUCGGAUCGAAGUCUGCAAUUCGACUUCG
rnacentral:rRNA from 1 species